rnacentral:rRNA from 1 species
GAUGAACGCUGGCGGCGUGCCUAAUACAUGCAAGUCGAGCGAACAGACGAGGAGCUUGCUCCUCUGACGUUAGCGGCGGACGGGUGAGUAACACGUGGAUAACCUACCUAUAAGACUGGGAUAACUUCGGGAAACCGGGGCUAAUACCGGAUAAUAUAUUGAACCGCAUGGUUCAAUAGUGAAAGACGGUUUUGCUGUCACUUAUAGAUGGAUCCGCGCCGCAUUAGCUAGUUGGUAAGGUAACGGCUUACCAAGGCAACGAUGCGUAGCCGACCUGAGAGGGUGAUCGGCCACACUGGAACUGAGACACGGUCCAGACUCCUACGGGAGGCAGCAGUAGGGAAUCUUCCGCAAUGGGCGAAAGCCUGACGGAGCAACGCCGCGUGAGUGAUGAAGGUCUUCGGAUCGUAAAACUCUGUUAUUAGGGAAGAACAAAUGCGUAAGUAACUAUGCACGUCUUGACGGUACCUAAUCAGAAAGCCACGGCUAACUACGUG